GUUAGGAAUAUUGGACAAUGGGCGCAAGCCUGAUCCAGCCAUGCCGCGUGAACGAUGAAGGCCUUCGGGUUGUAAAGUUCUUUAGCCGAUGAUUAUAAUGACUGUAGUCGGAAAAUAAGCCCCGGCUAACUUCGUGCCAGCAGUCGCGGUAAUACGAAGGGGGCGAGCGUUAUUCGGAAUCACUGGGCGUAAAGCGUGCGUAGGCGGUCUCGUAAGUUAGGAGUGAAAGCCCAGGGCUCAACCUUGGAAUUGCUCUUAAUACUGCAAGGCUAGAAUCUCGGAGAGGAUAGCGGAAUUUCCAGUGUAGCAGUGAAAUGCGUAGAUAUUGGAAGGAACACCAGUGGCGUAAGCGGCUAUCUGGACGAGUAUUGACGCUGAGGCACGAAAGCGUGGGGAUCAAACAGGAUUAGAUACCCGGGUAGUCC
rnacentral:rRNA from 1 species